rnacentral:tRNA from 1 species
UGCAAGGUAGAGCAAUUGGGAGCUUGUUGGGCUCAUAACCCGAAGGUUAUAGGUUCAAAUCCUAUCUUUGCAC